rnacentral:rRNA from 1 species
UACAGAGGUCUCAAGCGUUGUUCGGAUUCAUUGGGCGUAAAGGGUUCGUAGGCGGCGCGGUAAGUCGGGUGUGAAAUCUCGGAGCUUAACUCCGAAACUGCAUUCGAUACUGCCGUGCUUGAGGACUGGAGAGGAGACUGGAAUUUACGGUGUAGCGGUGAAAUGCGUAGAUAUCGUAAGGAGGACCAGUGGCGAAGGCGGGUCUCUGGACAGUUCCUGACGCUGAGGCACGAAGGUCAGGGGAGCAAACGGG